rnacentral:lncRNA from 1 species
GUUUAGUUUUCCACUGGAGCCACUCAGGGAGCCAGGAAAGGGUAUUUCUUACAUCUCCUGAUACUGUUUGACCACGCACAGGGGUUGGGAGCAAAUGCUGCUGCUGACCAGACUCUGUUGAGUCUCUGGGAGAACGAUUUUGCCUAGUGGAAGGAGGGAAAAGUUCUGGAGAAUGCAGAGACUCCUGAGUUUGAAUUUUGACACCACUACUUGGUAGCUCCGUGGCCCUGAGCAAAUCUCUCAACCUCUCUGGGCCUUUGUUUUUACAGAUGUGAGGAGCACAGAAAAGCACGGAUCAGGAUAGGCAGGUGGCUGAAGCACACAAAUGGCAGCUGCCAUCCUCCUCCCUGCUCUUAAUCUCCAGCAGGCCAGAAGCAGGCUGGGGAAGGGGGGGGGGGUCCACGCUGGGAGGGCUGGCUCUCCUCAUUUCAUCACAUCACUACCCUGUUUUCUGGUUUUGGUUAAAGGAUCUGUCAUUGGCCAGGAAUGGGAGUACCUCUAACAGGAAGAGGAAUUUCUGUUCCAAGCAGGGCAAAGAGAAGAAGGAGCGCAGGGCGCUGGCAUUUCCCGGAAGCCCAGGACAGGCCAGACCCAGUGGCAGGAGAAGAAAAACAAAGCUUCCUUCCAAGUGGAGUGAAAUUCUAAAUAUGAUAAGCCCGAGUUGGCACCAGGGCGGGUUGCAAGAAUGAACUUUUCCUUGUAAUUUGAUUUGUUUUCGGUUACGUCCAUCGAGCUGCUGAUUUUACACAAUACGUAAAUAACUUCACGCCCUGCUAUUUUUGCACUGAAGAUUUUGUUUCUGGCCUUUCCCAUGACAGUACAUAAGGUCCAUAAUGAUCUUUUGAAAUGGUGCAAAUCAUUCCAAGAGUGACCCUCAGCCAGUUGAUUAACCAUUCUCCUCCAACACUUAGCAUUUCUGGAACCUUCCAUCUUUGGUAAAGUCACUCUACUUAUAGUUUCCAAGUUUCAAGUCUACAGCACUGACUAUCAACAUC